rnacentral:misc_RNA from 1 species
CAGGCGGCCGGGCUCCACUCCGAUGACGUCAUCACCUCGCAGCACCCUUCGGCCCUAUUCCACUACGUCUCAGUAUUCGGGCACCACUGCUGCAACGGCGUCAGCCGUUCUCCUGUCUUGGUCAUGCCUUCUGUUACUAGUAUGAAUAAACCUUGCUGACAAUUGUUGAGGCAUAAGGGAAUCAGUCGCCAUUAUUGUCUGAAUAAGCCUGCAAAGCACAAUGGAGGGACUCGUGCACUGAAACACACAAGGUGGAUCCAUCUCUUGGAAUUUCCAGAAAUAUCGGGUUAUUCCCACAUUGAGAAUGAAAAAGUCUUAUUCAGUACCCAAUUUUGGACAAGAUAUACUUUCUGACCCCAAUUUAGGCGAGGAAGUCUUCGUCACCCAAUUUUGGGUGAUCAAGAGAGUAUCAGCUAUCUGGGUUAGGUUAGGGUUUCUAAGAAGGCCCUUUUAUUGAGGCUCUACAGACUGUCAGGAGAUGUUUUCAGCUUUGAGAGGUGCGCGAAUUAUGAUCAGUAUUUCAGACAUUCUUCUGACAUUUUGACAAAAUUUACACAAGUGCUUUAGACACAUUUAGGGCACCGCCUCUCAGCUCUCAUUCCUUGGCCAACCCAAAUUGCCAGAGAAGGUUCAAAAUACAACAAAUCGACGCAGAAUGAUUUGUUCCAAAAUAUUCCACAAUUGUUCCAAUUUGUUCCUUAACGAGGGCGGCUCCAGGCUCGUUAUCGUUUUUCGAUAACGAGCUGGCCAGCUUCAAACCAGUAAAAAUGCACAAAUUGACCUUGGAAAGGUGCAGUUCUUCUUAAAAACGUUUGUUCCAAAAUGUUCCACCAUCGUUUCACGGCCACCGAUAGCACAAAUGCAGUUUCCCAAAAACGAUUGUUUUUUUUUGGGGUUGGCAAACUUCAAAAAUACAAAUCCGCGCGCAAAAAAAGUUGAAAAUGAUGCUAAUUGCCUGAGAAUCGUUUGUUCCGAAAUGUUUCACCGUCGUUUCACGGCCACCGAUAACACAAAUGCGUUAUCCGAAAAAACGUUGUUUGUUUGGGUUGGCGAACUUCCAAAAUACAAAUCCGCGUAAAUAAAGUUUAAAAUGAUGCUAAUCGCCUCAGAAUCGUUUGUUCCGAAAUGUUCCACCGUCGUUUCACGGCCACCGAUAACACAAAUGCGUUUUCCGAAAAACGGUUGUCUUUUUUGGGUUGGCGAACUUCCAAAAUACAAAUCUGCGUAAAAAAAGUUCAAAAGUAUGCUUAUCGCCUGAGAAUCAUUUGUUCCGAAAAGUUCCACUGUCAGUCCACGGCCACUGAUAUCUAAAAUGCAUUUUCAAAAAAACGGUUAGUUUUUUUUUUGUUUUUUUUGGGUUGGCGAACUUUCAAAAUACAAAUCUGCGUAAAAGUGCCUGAGCCUGAUUGCGUGCCUAAUUGCCUGAGAAUCAUUUGUUCCGAAAUGUUCCACCGUCGUUCCACGGCCACCAAUAGCUAAAAUGCAAUUUACGAAAAACUGUUGUUUGUUUGGUAUGGCGAACUUGUCAAGUACAAAUCCGCGUAAAAAGAGUUGAAAACAACGCGGUUCGCCUUAGAAACGUUUGUUGUUCAACUUCUGGGAGGUCCCCCUCUCAGCUCUUGAAAAAGGAUGCGACGAUAAUCACUCUUGUAAAUCUUGUCAAGACGUCAAAAACCUGUCCAAAAACCUAACCAAAAUUUGCGCAAGUAUGAAAGCUGAAAAUUUCUUUUGACAUCCUUUGGAACUUGGCCAUCAAUAUGAGUGUAAGUUUUCAGAACUAAAGCUUUUAGGGGUGCGCGAAUUUCAGAGGGCGAGGAAACCUUCCUCGCCCGAAUUUGGUUGAAAAAGUAUACCUCGCCUAAAAUUGGGUAUUGAUCUCUCAUUCUCAGUGAAAACUGUUUAACGGGUCAAAAUAACAGACAUUUGUGAAAAAACAUUGUUUGUGAGAUGUGCACAAUUUUAAAUGUUUUUCCCGCACUACAAUAAUAAGGCAUGGGGCCAUUUAUUUCAUUCCUCAUAUCGAAAGCACAUUUAAUUUUCUUUUCAAAUGAGCCCUUUUAGACGUCUAAAUCUGGCGCAAUUAGCUAACGUCAACCAUGUGCAACAUGUGGUAUUUUAGCUGAAAAUAGGCAAAAUGGACGUUUAUUUUUGUGUGAGCUUCCCACUUGAGCCACGCUAAGCUGGCAUCAGACUUCUUCGAUCCUCUGCGUCGUGUAGCAGGUAAAGAAGUACAUUGAUACCUUUGACAGGACCUGCAACACGGGGGCAUUUCUUAAUUUGCGCCAAAUUAAAAAUGCAAGAAAAACAAAAUUGUACAACAAAUGUAUCGUCAUAGGGGGUUAUACUUGGGAGACAUUUUAGGGCCAGAAGCAAGAUUCUCGACCCAUGCCAUUGCAUCCCAUUAAUGUUCAAGAUUGGUGACUCUUGAUAAUUUUGUCAGCUUGUCAGAAUCAUGCCUGAAAUCUCGUGCAAAUUCGCGCACUUAUGAAAGAUGAAAACUUAUUCUAUGGCAUUCUGUAGUGUAUGGUGCGAUAUCUCAGCUGCAUUGCACCAUACGUGCUAUACUCAUAGCGUUUGGAAUCUCAGUGCAUGACCUAAAAUUGAAAAUCAUUUAUCCUGGUUUGGAACCUGGAGCCCGCGCACACUUGGGUUUGUAGAGAGCAUAUGGCACGUUCCCUAUUUCUGCGAACGCUGCUCGGAAAGGUUCGCGGCACCCGCUCUGUGUUUCGACAUCAGGCAGUUUGGUCGCUUAAACAAGCAUCUUCCGAGAAACGGCUUGACGGGGCAGUAUGUAUUGGCGCAUCAUGCCAGAUGCCGACGCCAAUAAAUAGCCAACGCCUCUCCGUCCUCUCGGUCAGCGUUCACUCAGUCGACACCACUGCAACAUGGCUCGUGCUCUUUUCCUCGUCCUGGUCCUGGUGGCGACCGCCUACGCCGACCGCUACGCCUUCAACCAGGUGAACGAGAUCGCCUCUCGGGUCAAGGUGUGUCUGAAGCCCGUGGCCAAGCUGGACGCCGGCUUCUACCGACCCGCAGACAACUGCGCCUACAAUGCCAAGCUGAGCGCGAGAGACGGCAAAGCCAAGGAGACCCUCGCCAACUCCGUCCCCAAGUGCCUGGUCGGCUACAAGGUGGACGCUGUCCUUGUGGCGAGCGCCAAGCAGUGCCUCGUCAAGUCCCUCGCCGCCGACCUGAAGCCCGCCCUCGAGAUGGCCGAGUACACUGGUGACGAGCUGUACGAGAUCAGUGGUCGCAUCCAGGACUGCCUGUCCGCCAUCCCCGACACCGCCGCCAUCUCGUCCGACGUCGCCGACGAGGCCUUCUACCAGGCCGAGAACGGCUACCCCAAGGAGUCCCUGCUCGAGUACUCCAUCAUCCCCUACCUCGACAACAAGAACGUCAACGCCCCGGCCGUGGCCGCGGCAGAGCAGUGCAUUGCCGCGUCGCUCGCCAAGCCCCUAGAAUCCUAGGAACGUGCUCAAAACCUUGCGAAGUGUCCUCAACGUACGAUGGGUGCAAAUCUUUUAGUUUGUCAUUCAAAAGAAACGGUUCAACAUUGUCAAAAGAAUUUUCUUCGUAAGCUUGUGUUUGUUCAAAAUACUAUGGUAUCACCAACUGUUUUUGCAAUUAAAGCGUAAAUUAGUUCGAAAGAUUUUUGAGAGCUAAAAUGUUUUAAAUCUGGAGGAGAUGAUCUAGGCAGUAUGGCAGAAAUAAAUUUUUAUCCAAACCGACGUGGCUUAUUUGAUCUCAUUGGCGUACAGGGGGGCUAUUUUAGGGUGACCAUCAAACCCCUAAAAUGACCCAUCUCAGAUUCCAAUUUUUUUUUUGUCUUGGGUGAUGGAGACCGAUACCCCAAAGCACCCAUGCCAAAGGCUUUUCCAAUUUAUAAAGCGGUUUGGAUUCCACAGCCAUUUUAAUUUUUAAGUUUCCGAAAUGUGUUAAUCUGACGUAAAAGUGGUAAUUUUCUUUUUUGAGAGUCCGAUGCUGGUAUCGGCCUAUCGUUUCCUUUCAGACGAGUCAAAAUCAAAAUUUUAGGGGAUUUCAGAUCCUUUUGCUACAAAGUCAGGUUUGCAUAGUAUACCUUAUUUAUUAUUUGGUAUCUGUAUUUGCAGUUAUGGCUUCUUCUACUUUCAAUUUGGCAUGGAAAGAAGGUCUGAAGCCGAGGAAACCUACUGGUUUGCUCCGAGGGAAGGAGAAUAAGAUUGACAAGCUUAUUAAGGAUCUGUCAUUGUACAAAGAUAAAUACGGCAAUAAUGUGUAUUAGUUGAUUGCCAUUUAUACUGACUUCAAAAUUAAGUUUUAUACAUAUCUGCCAAAACAAUACGACAAUAAGGAUGAUGCCUAUGUUGAUAGGCUUAAUACUGAAAUACAAGAAGGAAAUAACAUCAGGAUAAUUUUUUAUGGAUGUAUUGGAAGUUCCAAUGAACUCUACAUCCACGACCAUGAUGAACCUCUUGACCAGAAAAGUUGGAACUGAUUCGUUUAAUUGAAAGGUCGGAACGAGGAUGGGGCACUAACGGGAAAAGAAGUGGCAGUGAUGUCGGCACCAGUGGUGAUGAAGAUGACAGUGUUAUGAAGAAAUCUAAAUUGGAAUGAAUGUUGGAUUGUAGUUAUGUUUUGGUUCAAAGUAUGAGUUUUGCAAAAAUUAGAUUCAUUUUUUUUUUGUUUCUUGGUACGUAAGUGACAUACUGUUUUGUUAAAUUUUGGGGUGUGUCAUUGGGUUGAAUAAACAAUGAGAAAUAUGUUACCGUUUCAUUGUUAAACCUUUAUUCCUAAUUAGAUUGUGUUACUAAAAUUCAUAACUUAAAAAAUAAUUUUUGACUGAUUGCACUAAAUUCAAAAUUGGUAGAUAAUUUUAUGAAAUAAAUGUUUCUGGAAAUGGUUCACAUCUUCUCAAUUUUCAAGCCGUCACACUGACACUUAAAGAAUCGGAACUAAUAGCGGGCGAAGCCCUCGAAUCGGCCCGAUUUAGCC